rnacentral:rRNA from 1 species
ACGGAAUAGAUACCCGGGUAGUCCACGCCCUAAACGAUGAUUACUCGACAUACGCGAUACACAGUGUGUGUCUGAGCGAAAGCAUUAAGUAAUCCACCUGGGAAGUACGUCCGCAAGGAUGAAACUCAAAGGAAUUGACGGGGGUCCGCACAAGCGGUGGAGUAUGUGGUUUAAUUCGAUGAUACGCGAGGAACCUUACCUGGGCUAGAAUGCUAUCUGACUGUACCUGAAAGGGUAUUUGUAGCAAUACACAGAUAGUAAGGUGCUGCAUGGCUGUCGUCAGCUCGUGCCGUGAGGUGUUGGGUUAAGUCCCGCAACGAGCGCAACCCCCGACUCUUCAGUUGUCCAGCACGUAAUGGUGGGAACUCUGAAGAAACUGCCGUCGUAAGACGCGAGGAAGGAGGGGAUGAUGUCAAGUCAUCAUGGCCUUUAUGCCCAGGGCUACACACGUACUACAAU